GAGAAAAAUGUGCAGUUUGGUUGGGGAAAACCCCUGACGGUUGACUCGCUCCACUCUUGCCCUCUCUCUAGAGGGGAAACGGCUUUGGGUGCACGAGCUAAAUUCAGUUAUUGUUAUGAGGAGGAAGGGGGCCCCUUGAACUAGGAGGAUAAGAAGGAAGAGGGAUCUGCCUCCCUCAGAUAAGGGAUAAUGUGGGGCAUCUCACUCUUCCACUUUCUUGGAUCUAGUAACAGCCUGUGGUGACUUAGGCAAAAUCCAGAGGGUAUCCCACACAGAGGCACUUAAACUUUCUAGUGUUCGGGGGACCCUGCUCUUAAAACACAUUUGCUUUUCUUCCCUCCCAUUUUGCAAGAUGGCUGCUGGGAACUCCCCAGAGCUUAGUCCCUGGACAUGCUCAGGUCCAGAAGCUACCAAAGUGCCUUUACUGCGGGAAGGAGAUGGUCCAGUAGCUUAAUGUCCUCAGGGUCAUGACCAAGGAUGAUCAGAGGGCCAGGGAAGGCGGUGCGAAGCCAAGAACAGUUUGCAGAUUGCCCACACUUCCCAUGAGGCAUAAACCCAAAAGGGUGGAGAACAGCGAUACAAAGGAACUUGUGUGCACAACCCAGGUAUCUCUGAAGCACAUUUGGCACCAAUUGGUGUUUAAUAAAAUUAAGGGUUGACUUUGAAUCCAAGAUUCUCCCUCUGUGUUCCCAGUUAAAUCCAUUCAACACUACAGGUAAACAUAGGGUAUCCGUGGAGUUUUCUAAAGAGAGUGCUACAGCUUUCUUUUUUUUUAAAAGAAAAGUGAUUUAGAUUUUUAAAAACAAGGUGAAAAAAAAACCCACAAUGGAUUUAUGUCUCAUGUUUAAAAUAUAUUAGAGUUAAUAAGCCACAACCCCCAGGUCCCCACUUCAGAAAUCAUUUGACCUUGCAAAGCUGCAGGUCAAGUUGACAGCCCAAGACUGUCCACUCCACAAAGACAAAUGAUUUGGUGCUCUGCUCAGACAGGACAGGUUAGCAUGGUACACACACGGCUCCCAGAAGCUUAGCGCGGGAGACACGAGAAACUGAAAAAUGAGUCACCAGGUUGUCAACUCUGCUGCUCUCCUUGACAAGCAAAGCACGUGGCUCUGUAGAUCAUGAUGCCAAUCCAGAAAUAUGAGGACUGCUGCUUUAAAGCCCUCUGCAGAUGGGUGCCCUUGACUCUGGGAGGAUACGGCACCUGUAAGAGUGUGACCUCUUAGCCCAAAGGGCCAUAAGCAGCCUCCAACCUUUGGAAUAUGUGUACCCCUCAACCUUUGAAAAGGGCAGCCUGGCUUUGCAGUCUGUAUGCAGUAAAGAUUGAGAGAGGCCUGUUCUUCAGAGCUAUUGGAUUUUUCUGACUUUCUCUCUGAAUGCUUGCAGCCCCCAAAAUCUAUCAUUCAACGGAAUGGAAGACUCCCUGUUAAAGUUACAGGCACGUAGCUAACAUUUUUCACAGGCACCGAGGGCUGCUUCCAUCUUGUGCAGCUCUAAACCAUCACGUAUCCUCCCAUCACCUCUGCUAUCUCACCUGCAAAGUCAAGGGCCAGAUGAGGCAUCUUAGUAUCUCCUCUACUUCUGUAAGCUGCUUUAUUAUUAUUAUUAUUAUUAUUAUUAUUAUUAUUAUUAUUAUUAUUAUUGAACUAUUAAGUUCAAAGAAGAAACUUAUUAAAAGUAUUCUGCUUCUCUAAGAGACAGCCCUAAAAGCACUGUCAGAGAGAAGGAAAAACGGUAAAAGAAUAAAUGACCCCAGGGUCUCCAGUUCACCCCCAUCCCCAGGCCCGCGACCAUGAGAACAACUCGGCUGCAAAGGUAAGGCUCCCCGGGAUAAUCCCAAGCCCUUCACGAGAUAAGAGAUUCUAGUCAAAAGGAGGGUUACGGUAUCCCCACCUUCAUUAGGAGUCUGGUUCCUUCUGUGCCUCAGUUUCAGUGCCCAGAUCAGACAACAGGGAUGACUCUUAAUAAAAUGACCAGGGCUAAGAACUGAGGAGGGACAUCAUAUAGGAAUCAAUGGGGGACUCGGUAGUAGGAUCAACUUUUGAGGCCUCCCACAGGGAUUUCUUCAGAGCCCUUAAUGGAAGACUUUCCACGUCACCCGGAAGGCUCAGCACCCAGAUGAGGCUCACCUGAUGAAGGUGGUCUUGCCGGUAGAGUACUGGCCCACCAACAGGACCAUGGGCUUGUUGUCGAAAUCAGCAUCUUCCAGGGCGGGCGAGUGGAACUCGUGGAAGCGGUAAUACUCUUCCAGAGGCAGCAGCUUGGUCUUGUAGAGUUUUUUGAGUCCAUCGCUCACCGUCUGGAAGACCUCAGGGUCCUUCUUGCGGCGAUCAUCGUUACCCAGCCAACUGAACAUUGUGACAGCUGGGAGGAAGCUCCCGGGAGUGGCACCCGCCUAGCUCGAACAACGCCGCCACUACUGCCUUACCAGAGCUCGGGGCUCAGACGCACCAUGGCCCGGGCUGCCCCAGCUGCUGGAUUCAGUCCAGUCCCAGGUUCAUCCACAGCCCGGUUGGAGAGAAGGAUGCUGUGGAUUGUGUCAAGAGAACUGCAACCUUGGAAAUUAAAGACAAACCUGCCGGGAAGCCGAAGCCUGAGUUCCAGGUCUCCCCAGAUAGAUGACUAAAGGAUGCUCGAGCUCCGCUACUGCGGAGCCCAGGCUGCGCCGGGUAGGCAGCGGCUCACACAGCUCCGCAUCCGCAGCAGCAUCCCGCCGCCCCCGGCGCGCGUUUAAAUGCCAGACGUGCAGGAAGUCCCCGAGAACUGGCAAAACCCGGCCAGCUCCACGGUCAGGGCGACGCGAAGCCAAGGAGGGCGCCGCCAUGUCUAUGGGCAGGCGCUCUGCGGCCGCGCGGACUCUAUCUGCAAAAAGCUGCUGCCAGAGUCCUGUGGGAAAGCGCAGGCAUUUCUUUCCCAGCCCUGGGGAUUUGACUUGGGAGCAGCGCCCUCUCAAGGACGGAGACUAAGACAGCCUUGACCUACUCUACCGUUUUGAGACUCAGUUCCUUUGGUUACUGAGGUCAGUUCCCUGGGGAUACUAAUAUUGGGACCCAUUUGGGGAAAAUUCUACUGUAUUUUCCUUGGGGCAUGGAAAGAAGGUGCCCCUGACAAGUGACAUAAAAUAACCAAAAAAUCAGUAACUUAUCUUUUCACCAGGCCUGAGGUGAAGUGAAAAACAAACAACAAACAAAAACGGCUUUCCUCUUUCUCUCCUCCCCCUCUCUCCCACUCAAUACGGUAGGUAAAACCAGCAAAACACACACAGGCAGGGAGUGCUAAGGGGCAGCGACCUAAUUUGACACAACUACAUACAAAGCUGAGUCUUUGAGGAGCCUUUUAGGAGAUGUAGCAGGGUAGAAUUACAACAGACACGAAAAGAGGCAGGCAAAUUUCUGAGUUUGAGGCCAGCCUGGUCUACAAAGCGAGUUCCAGGAUAGCCAGGGCUACACAGAGAAACCCUGUCUC
rnacentral:lncRNA from 1 species